GGGGGUGAACGGUUUCGACUUCGGUCGUCGAUCAAGGGGAAGCGUGUCGAGGAAGGCGACGAUGCACUCGUUAACCACACGCGUCGCAAACCAUUAAGCGCCAACCAUCAGGUUAAGCGCGACGCAUUCGCCCUCGCCGCCUGAGCGAGAGCUAGCGUCUGUCGGCCCGGGGGCGUCCCCGCUCCGGAGUCCGGCAUCAGCUAGGGGACUCACCGUCCGACCCGGUCGCGGGGGCGGGCGGGACAUCGCACAGCGACUGGGAUCGUCACACCGGCUCGUCCGCAUGACCGGUGGAUCCGAGUAGAGGCAGAGCGGACUGCGCACGGAGAAGCCCUUGUGAAGCGCCGGAGGACCCGGGUUCGAUUCCCGGCACCUCCAC
rnacentral:tmRNA from 1 species